rnacentral:rRNA from 1 species
AGCGAACGCUGGCGGCAGGCCUAACACAUGCAAGUCGAGCGCCCAGCAAUGGGAGCGGCAGACGGGAUAGUAACACGUGGGAACGUACCUUUCAGUUCGGAACAACCAAGGGAAACUUUGGCUAAUACCGAAUACGCCCGUAAGGGGAAAGAUUUAUCGCUGAAAGAUCGGCCCGCGUCUGAUUAGCUAGUUGGUGAGGUAAUGGCUCACCAAGGCGACGAUCAGUAGCUGGUCUGAGAGGAUGAUCAGCAUCACUGGGACUGAGACACGGCCCAGACUCCUACGGGAGGCAGCAGUGGGGAAUAUUGGACAAUGGGCGCAAGCCUGAUCCAGCCAUGCCGCGUGAGUGAUGAAGGCCUUAGGGUUGUAAAGCUCUUUCGUCAGGGAAGAUAAUGACGGUACCUGAAGAAGAAGCCCCGGCUAACUUCGUGCCAGCCGCCGCGGUAA